rnacentral:rRNA from 1 species
CCUACGGGAGGCAGCAGUGAGGAAUAUUGGUCAAUGGACGGAAGUCUGAACCAGCCAUGCCGCGUGCAGGAUGACGGCCCUCUGAGUUGUAAACUGCUUUUGUACGAGAGUAAUAGUUCUUACGUGAUGAGCUUUGAAUGUAUCGUACGAAUAAGGAUCGGCUAACUCCGUUCCAGCAGCCGCGGUAAUACGGAGGAUUCGAUCGUUAUCCGGAUUUAUUGGGUUUAAAGGGUGCGUAGGCUGUCGGAUAAGUUAGAGGUCAAAUGGCGGGGCUUAACCCCGGGCCUGCCUCUGAUACUGUUCGACUAGAGAGCGUAUGAAGCUGGCGGAAUGAGUGGUGUAGCGGUGAAAUGCUUAGAUAUUACUCAGAACACCGAUUGCGAAGGCAGCUUGCUAAUCCGCAUCUGACGCUGAUGCACGAAAGCGUGGGUAGCGAACAGGAUUAGAUACACGUGUAGUC